CGUGGCCUCGGCCUGCGUCCCGCCCCGACCGCGGACUCACUCAGGACCCUGGAGAGCGUUAGCCGCGGAGUCCACCCCGGCUUAGCCGGAGGAAGCAGGGACGCCUUGGCGAGGAAGACACCAUACGGCACCCAGAAACAGGGACAAAACCGGAAAGCCAACCUGCUGCUCCAUGAAGUCACACGCUAGGAAUAUGAUUGGAUGGCCUUCAAAAGCCUCGAGCCCGCCCCCAAAACCUUGUGACCCCGGGCUGCGGGAGAAACUCUUUUGGGGCUAAACAGGAAGAAGACUUCAUAGCCUAUAAAUAGCCAAUUACCAGAUUCUCCGAUGAUGGGGUCCAGCUGGCCAAGGGAGGGGGGUGGUGCGACCCCUGGUGGCCACAUCGCCGCAUCGCCCGCAGACUGGGGGCCUUUGGAACCUGUCCUGAUAUUCUGUGUCCCCUACCACCUGGGGGAUGGAGUAGUCUCCUCAUAUUAAAACUGAGACAGAACAGGAGGAUUUCAGAGAAGCCUGGAGAGACUUAACAGGAACUGAUGCUGAGUGAAGGGAGCAGAACCAGGAGAUCAUUGUACAUAGCAACAACAAUACUAUAUGAGGAUCAAUUCUGAUGAUGUGGCUCUUUUCUACAGAGAUGAUUCAAACUAUUUCCAAUGAUCUUGUGAUGAAGAGAGCCAUCAACACCCAGAGAGGGCACAGUAGGAUUGAGUGUGGUUCACAACAUAGUAUUGUGUCUUUUUGUUGUUUGCUUGCAUUUUGUUUUCUUUCUCAUUUUUUCCUUUAUGAUUUGACUUUUCUUGUGCAACAAGAUAAUGGUAUGCAUAUAUUGGAUUUAAGAUACAUUUUUUACCAUGUUUAACAUAUAUUGUUAAUGGUAUAAUUAACAUACUUGUUUAACAUACUUGCCAUCUAGGGGAGAAAGUGGGGAGAAUUGGAAUACAAGGUUUCGCAAAGGUCAAUGUUGAGAAAUUAUCCAUGCAUAGCUUUUGAAAAUCAAAAAGCUUUAAUUAAAAAAAAUUUUAAAGUUUUUAAAAACUUUUUUUAAACUGAGACAGGUUGUUCUCUCUGCCCUCUCUGGUUAGACUUUUCCUCUCCUUCCUGUUGUGUGCAGAGGGUGAUGAUCAUAGCACAGGAGCCAUGACCUGAACUGGGGAGAUUGGAGCUAUCUCCCCCUAUCUUUCUCUUUUUAGACUUUUGGGGGAUGGGAGCAUUUGCCUUAUUCUUUGUCCUUCAUCCCCAGUUUCAGGGGUCAGGAGGAAAUCCCACUGGCCAGAGAUGUUUGAGCCAUGGAGACCUUGCUGUGGCUAAAUGGAACUGGGGUACCAGGAAGCUCCCCCCUUAUACUUGGAGUGCGGCUCCAGUGAGGAUGGAACCCAUAGCAGAGCCUCGACACUCUCAGUACCCCUUAAGGGAACUAGAGAACUUGGGAACAGGUAAAGGAUAACAUAGCUGACCUUGAGGCAGUGGGGGCUAGGGUGACCCAUGUUACCUGGGUUUGAUCCUGAAGGUGAUAGGGAGUCACAGACAGUUAGUGAGUAGGGGAGUGAUGUAAUUGGACUGUCACUUCAGGAAAAUCAUCUUGAUGACUGACUAGAAGAAGGCCCAGAGUGGGAAGAUACUUGUGGCAAGCAGACACAUUUGUAUUCCCAGUACUUAGCACAGUGCCUUAUAUAUAGUAAUAUUAAUAAUAAUAAUAGCUAACAUUUUUGUAGUGUUUACUAUGCUCCAGAUGCUGUGCUAAGAACUUUGCAAUUAUUUAUUCAUUUGAUCUUCACAACAACUCUGAGAGAUAGAUGCUCUUAAGGUCCCCAUUUUACAGAAAAGGAAACUAAGACAGAGGUUAAAUAAAAGCUAGGAAAUAUCUGAGGCAGGAUUGGAAUUCAGGAUCUUCCUGAUCCCAGGACCGGUGCUCUAUCCACUGCAUCACCAAGUAAGCACAUUAAAUGUUUUCUCAUUCAUUCAUUUCUGAUACUUAAUGGCUGGAUAUAUGACAAGGGAUAAGUCCUAAAGUCCUAAUUGGAAACUUCCAAGAGAAAGUAGAGGUCACAUAGGAUAAUUUCCUUAUUUUAUAGACAAAAAAAUUAAGGUCUUGAAAGGACCCUGAGAUGCUAAGGAUCCUACACAGGAUUUAAAUCCAAGUCUUCUGGCCCCAAACCCAAUACUUUCUCUUUUAUACAUGUGUGCAUCGUUAUUUAUGUUGCUUCUCCCAUUAGAAUAUGAGCUUUUUGAGAGUAGGAACUCUAUUUUUUGCCUUUCUUUCUAUUUCUGGCAUCUAGCACAGUCCUCGGUGCAUAAUAAAGGGCUUAAAAUACUUGUUGACCGAUGAUUUCUCUGAGUUUCAAGUUCCCCAUCUGUAAAAUGGAGAUGAUUUCAGGGAGGCUGAAAUGAAAGCAAAAAUACACAAAGCUGACUAAAAUGUCAACUACUAUAGUGUUUCCUGUCUCUAUAUCUUCCCUCAGUGUCAACCACAAAGCCCUGCAGAAAGAAGGUGGGAAAGAAAUAUUUGGUACAUUAAACUGAACUAGAAUUAGUUGUUUGGAAGAUGAUCCAGGAAGCAAGAGAAUCUUCCCAUUCUCCCCAUCCCUAUCCCAAGGAUCCAUUCAUCCUGCCCAGCUCCUGCCUGUGAGCUGGGGAGGCAGAGAUCGCCAAGAAAUUCAGAAUCUUUGGAAGAUUUAACAAAGCUCAUAGACUGAGCUGUCAAGGAAAAUUGAGUCACUACUAUCGCAAGCAUACAUGGGAGAAUGAGGCUUUAAAGAGGGAUGGCAACUGCCUCGGUGGCCGAUGGCUUCUGGGGGAAACCAGAUUUUUCUACUAAUUAUGGGGGGAAAGACACGUUUAUGGGGCAAAGGAUCCUAGAUUUAGAAGCUGAAAGGAUUGUGGAGGCUGCUAAUCUAAUCUCAGAUGGGGAAACUGAGGCCCAGAGUGAUUAAGAAACUUGCUCAAGACCACAGAGAUAAAAUCAGGGGCAAGAUUAAAUCCAUCCAGUUCACUAAAGACAUAAUUGACAAUCUAUCAGGAAUCGGUUUCACCAAAACACCCAAAGGGAUGAAGAAAAAACAAGGUCAAACAAUGUUACAGAAGGAAUCUCUGGAAAGAAAGCGUUUUUUUGCCUCGAGGUGCAAGGACAAGAAAUAGCCUACAAGGGUCAGAGCCUUAACUACCAUCAAGGAUGGAAGAAGCUUUGUAAGGAGGACUAAGUAGCAGAAUCCCUCCUGCAAAUCAGAAGCCCCAGCCACAGUGCUAGGCCUGGAAAGUACUUCCCAGAAUCAUCGAGAAGCUAAGUGCUAGAAAUCUAAGAGUUUGAGCUAACAUAUAGCUUCAAACUGAUUCCAGGGGAAAAAAAGCCUCAAAAGCUCUAAGUCCAGGGAUCUGCUUUAGGCAUAGAAAACCCAAGUUAACACAAGACAUAUCCCUCAGUAGUUUUUCCCCUUUUGUUAUUUUAAGCCCCAAUAAGUUUCAUUCAGUCAUGAGAUACAGAACUAGAAGAGUGGCCAUUAAUAAUAAUCACUAGCAUUUAUAUAGUGCUUUAAAGCUUGCAAAACACAUCUUUACAAUUACCCCGGGGAGACUGGUGCUAUUAUCAUCCCCCUUUUACAUAUAGAGAAACUGAGGUGGACAGUGAUUUAAGCAACUUGUGUCUGAAAUCAGAUUUGAGCUCAUCUUCCUUACUCCAGGACCAGCAUUCUAUACUCUGAACUAUCUAGUUGCCUCCAAAUAUCUUAGUCCAAUCUCCAUUUUUAGAUGAGAAACUGAGGGAGGGGAGGGGGGAGAUGAAGGAACUCCUCCAACGUUUCCCAUCUAUCCUGAGGGAGAGCCAAGAAUCAAAUACAGAUCUUCUGACCCAACCAAUGUUCUUUCCACUGCCCCCCUAUAUAGAGCAUGAGGAGGUCACCAUGUUGCUAUGGACUCUUCAGAGGAAGGUAAGAGACUGAGAAAGGUAUUGAAGAACACAGACAAUAUAUAACUGCUGAAACUGUGAGAACUUUCUGAACCUGGGCCCAUCAGAGAGCUGCCCCAAAGCAGGACAAUCUUGCUCUAGUGGAAUGGGUGGAGAACCCCUUGCUCCAAUCCCCAUGAAGGAGGUGGCAGAAGCAGGGGGGUCAUUCACUGCCUUUUGGGCGACUGUCUGGAACUUUGUCCUGACACUGGACUUCGAGGAGCCAGAGAGAAAGGAGGCCAACAACCCUGCACUCCUGCCUCAUUUAAAUCCAAUUCAUGCUCUAGUCAAGACAUCUCCCUUGAUUUUAUUGGUUCUCUUUGGAAAUAAAGGAUGGACAACAAC